ACGUGUUACAAUGGGGGGUACAGAGGGCCGCUACCACGCGAGUGGAUGCCAAUCCCCAAAACCUCUCUCAGUUCGGACUGGAGUCUGCAACCCGACUCCACGAAGCUGGAUUCGCUAGUAAUCGCGCAUCAGCCACGGCGCGGUGAAUACGUUCCCGGGCCUUGUACACACCGCCCGUCAAGCCAUGGGAGCCGGGGGUACCUGAAGUGCGUAACCGCGAGGAGCGCCCUAGGGUAAAACUGGUGACUGGGGCUAAGUCGUAACAAGGUAAC
rnacentral:rRNA from 1 species